rnacentral:tRNA from 1 species
GCUUGGGUGGCUCAGCGGUUGAGCAUCUGUCUUUGGCUCAGGGCGUAAUCCUGGCGUUCCAGGAUCAAGUCCUGCCUCGGGCU